CUAGGUAUAUUAUUAUAAGAAAAAUUUACACUCGUAUAUUUACAAGCCCCAAUUGCUCGACUUUCGAAAACAAUAUUAAAAAAAAAGGCUGAAAAAUCUUAAAUCAUACACCCAAAAAAUUGAAAACAAAAUUAAAACGAGGGAUAACUGUAGUUACCGCGCUUAAGAGGAUACCGUUAUUUCAACGUGCCACGUCAUCCCAACAACCAUUUAAACGCAAGCGGGCCCCACAUAUUUCCAAUCACGAAGGCAAAUAAAUUUUCUCUCAUCUUGGCUGGCCCCCACCAUUACUCCCCGCCACACGAAAUAGUUCGUCAACGAUUCAGAUCACACCACGUCGAUCCACGACUCCGAUUUCCUACCAGAGGCAAACCGCUUCAUUCCACCCAAACCAACCGGUUCAGCACCCACCGGUGAGACUCUCUCGCUGACCGGUAACCGUUCCCUGAUGUCGAUCGUCUUCGCCGUCGAGCUCUUUUUUGACAGCGAUCCCCUUUGCGAUGCAUCUUUUCCUUUCUUGGCCGUGCGGUUACUGCUAGUAGCUCUGAAGAUGGCCCGAAAACUAGCCAAGAAUCCCGUUUUUUGUUUCCUUUCCUGUUUUUCACUUUUGCUCUCGGUUUCAUUAGAUCGUUGCUUAUUCCUUAAUCUGCGGUUUCUAUCUUUCUUCGAUCUCACUCUUCCCAUACAGGAGACCUUGGGCGAAGAUGGCUCGAUAACCGAGGAAUCCGAUUUAGUGGUGGCAGACCGUUUGGGAAAGAGGCGUGUAUUUCCCGGUUUACAGUGGCGCCUUCCGUCGACGAAGCAAGACUUCUGUGGCUUUGGCAAACCAAUAAUAGAGGCUUUGGACUUCAAGUUAGAGAAUCUCUGAGAAUUUGACUGAUUGGAGUUGGGAUUAACAUUGGGAUUCAAGUUAGUUGAAUGAGAGUUUCCUUUGGUGGAGUCCUUGCGCUCAAUGAACGCAUUACGAUCGAACCAGUCAAGCUCGGCGUCCUUAGAAAGCCAGAAAGAUUCAGGCGGGAGAUCAGGAGGGAUUUCUGGUGGAUCAGUAAUAGAUUCUUGAGGCUGAUGGUGUUGAUCGUCGUUGGUGGUCGUGGUGGUAGCGGCUAGUGUCUCACAGGCAAUUUUGCGUUCGCAAGAGACGCCGGCGCAUGCUGAAACUAAG
rnacentral:misc_RNA from 1 species